rnacentral:rRNA from 1 species
GACGAACGCUGGCGGCGUGCCUAACACAUGCAAGUCGAACGGAAAGGCCCUGCUUUUGUGGGGUGCUCGCGUGGCGAACGGGUGAGUUACAAGUGAGUAUCCUGCCCUUUACUGUGGGAUAACUUCAGGAAACCGGUGCUACUACCGGAUAGGAGCUCCUGCUGGAUGGUGGGGGUUGGAACGUUUGGGCGGUGGGGGGUGGACGCGCGGUUUAUCAGUUUGUUGGUGGGGGAGUGGCUUACCAAGUUGUCGACUGAUAGCCGGCCUGAGAGGGUGGCCCGCGACAUUGGGACUGAGGUACGGAGCAGACUCGUACGGGAGGCAGUGGGGGGGAGUAGUGCACAAUGGGCGGAAGCCUGAUGCGGCGGCGCUGGGAGCGGGAUGACGGCCUUGGUGGUAUGAAGCGCUUUCGGCUAUGACGAUGCGUGAGUGACGGUAAUGGGUAAAGAAGCACCGGCUAACUACGUG